GACGAACGCUGGCGGCGUGCUUAACACAUGCAAGUCGAACGGAAAGGCCCUGCUUUUGUGGGGUGCUCGAGUGGCGAACGGGUGAGUAACACGUGAGUAACCUGCCCUUGACUUUGGGAUAACUUCAGGAAACUGGGGCUAAUACCGGAUAGGAGCUCCUGCUGCAUGGUGUGGGUGGGAAAGUUUCGGCGGUUGGGGAUGGACUCGCGGCUUAUCAGCUUGUUGGUGGGGUAGUGGCUUACCAAGGCUUUGACGGGUAGCCGGCCUGAGAGGGUGACCGGCCACAUUGGGACUGAGAUACGGCCCAGACUCCUACGGGAGGCAGCAGUGGGGAAUAUUGCACAAUGGGCGGAAGCCUGAUGCAGCAACGCCGCGUGCGGGAUGACGGCCUUCGGGUUGUAAACCGCUUUCGCCUGUGACGAAGCGUGAGUGACGGUAAUGGGUAAAGAAGCACCGGCUAACUACGUG
rnacentral:rRNA from 1 species